AACAUACUCAACUGGUAAGACCAAUUUUUCUAUUCCACCAAUGACAUUGCUCCUGUUAGAUUCAAUAAGAGAAAGAUUUUCAUACUUGUGAAGAAACCAGUAAUUGUUAACACCUUGUUAACACAUUAACAAUUUGUCAUUUGUCCUUGUCUACCAUGACCACAUCAGCAGAAUUAGUUGAGGACAAAGGACAAAAUCUCUCCCUCUCUUCUUGCCUCUCUCCUGCCCCCAACCAUGGAACAGAACAAAAUCUAGGGGCAUCGAGGUGGCCCAGAAGACUGAGAGCCAAGGGCAUCUGAAGAAAAUGGGAAGAGGGAGGAUCCGUUCUGCCCACUGCCACAGACAUUUAAAUGGGAAAGAGCCUCAUGAAAUGUUAGGAAGGGCACCAAUCAUCACCCAAAUGGAAAUGAAUGACAACUUUCCUGCUCCUGAGGACUCACCAAGGUGUUCUGGAUAUGAAAUCUUCUGACAUCUAUAAUAAGCAAAAGGUGAACCUGAAGAAGCUCCCUUUGGUUACUGAGAGAGACUUUUCCAUUUCCCUUUUAUUUGGAAUUAGAUGUUUGUGGUAUGUCCUUAGCUUACAAAUUCCCUGUAAUUUCAAGAGAGGGUAAAGGCUUUGUUAUUACAGACAAUCAGCUUGAAGCCAAGGAAAGAGCCCUCAUCUAGGGAGUCCAAAGACCUGGUCUCCAGCCCCCAUCUCCCCAUUGAUGGGUUUUGUGAGCUUGGACCAGUCACAUUUUUUAUUUGAGAUCUCCAUUUCUCUAUCAGGAAAAUGAGACAGUCAGAUAAUCAUGAGGAUCACUUUUAGCUCUGACUUUCUAGGAUAAAAAAUAAAUAUCCUCCUGCAAGUCA
rnacentral:lncRNA from 1 species